rnacentral:rRNA from 1 species
GACAGAGGGUGCAAACGUUGCUCGGAAUCACUGGGCGUAAAGGGCGUGUCGGCGGGGAGGAAAGUCAGAUGUGAAAUCCCCAGGCUCAACCUGGGAACUGCAUUUGAAACUCCCUUUCUUGAGUACCGGAGAGGAAAGUGGAAUUCCUGGUGUAGAGGUGAAAUUCGUAGAUAUCAGGAGGAACACCAGUGGCGAAGGCGGCUUUCUGGACGGUAACUGACGCUGAGACGCGAAAGCGUGGGGAGCAAACAGG